rnacentral:rRNA from 1 species
UACGAAGGGGGCUAGCGUUGUUCGGAUUCACUGGGCGUAAAGGGUGCGUAGGCGGUCAGAUAAGUCUGAUGUGAAAUCUUCGAGCUCAACUCGGAAACUGCAUCGGAAACUAUCUGGCUGGAGGAUUGGAGGGGAGACUGGAACUCUCGGUGUAGCAGUGAAAUGCGUAGAUAUCGAGAGGAACACCAGUGGCGAAGGCGAGUCUCUGGACAAUUCCUGACGCUGAGGCACGAAAGCUAGGGGAGCAAACAGG